AGAUGUUGGGUUAAGUCCCGUAACGAGCGCAACCCUUGUCCUUAGUUACCAGCACGUUAUGGUGGGCACUCUAAGGAGACUGCCGGUGACAAACCGGAGGAAGGUGGGGAUGACGUCAAGUCAUCAUGGCCCUUACGGCCUGGGCUACACACGUGCUACAAUGGUCGGUACAAAGGGUUGCCAAGCCGCGAGGUGGAGCUAAUCCCAUAAAACCGAUCGUAGUCCGGAUCGCAGUCUGCAACUCGACUGCGUGAAGUCGGAAUCGCUAGUAAUCGCGAAUCAGAAUGUCGCGGUGAAUACGUUCCCGGGUCUUGUAACACACCGAA
rnacentral:rRNA from 2 species